CUUUCUCUUGGUCCCAGCCAAUUUUCUUUGUUGGGUUUUUUCGGACAUCAUGGGGUGGGGAGGGAGGUGGGGUUGGGGUCACAUUGGCGUGAUCCAGGCGAGGACAGUGAUAUGCCUCCAGUCAUGUACCACACAGCUAUGUGACUGAGCCACAGGAGGCGUCACCAGGGCUGCACUAGAAUGCGGAAAAGGGGCGUGGCCUUAAUGCUCCAAGCCCAUUGGUCAAUGAGAAAGAUGAAAGGGAAAGGAGGCGGGGCCAGGCAGCUGUGUGUCAUGAAGGUCCUGUGAUGUCACAAGGAAAGCCGCCCAUGCAACUGCUGUCCCCGCCCACUCUGGGAGAGGGGCGGGGCUGGCUUUCACUUUCUAAACUUUAAAACUUUAUCACCUUAAUUGAGGUGACAGAGCCCUCAAGGGGACAGAGCCCAUGCUCAUAACCAGAAGGAGCCCUGGCAUUCCCUGGACGUGAAGCACUAUUUGUCCAUUCAGCAAGAAUUACUCAACCCCUAUCUGCCAACCCAGAGGCCCAGUGAUGAACAGGACCAAUCCAGUUCUUGCCCCCAUGAGGCCUUCAUUUUGAUGGAACAAUCAGGCUCAAGAACCUCUUAAGGAGUUGCUAAGAGGUUCCUGAAUGAGUGGGCCCAAUUAACUGCAGUCAAGUCUGCUGUGCUGAGGCCUGGCAAAUCAGAAACGAAUUCUGUUCUUCCUCUUCUCUAAGACAGUGCAUAACAUGCUGAAAGUCAGGCACUUUGAAAGCAGAGGAACCUGAGUUAAAAUGUAAG
rnacentral:lncRNA from 10 species